AUUUGAAAGUCGUACCUGCCCAAUGAAAAUUUUUGAAUGGCCGCGGUAUUUUGACCGUGCAAAGGUAGCAUAAUCAAUAGUCUUUUAAUUGAAGGCUGGAAUGAAAGGUUUGACGAAAUGAUAUCUGUCUCUUAAUAAGAUUUUUGAAUUUUACUUUUGAGUUAAAAGGCUCAAAUAUGGAUGGGGGACGAGAAGACCCUAUAGAUCUUGAUAUUUUUUGUUAUUAAAUAAUUAUAGGUUGUUUUAUUAUAUAAUURUGGGGAAUAUUUCGUUGGGGUGACGUGAGAAUAGAAAAACUUCUUAAAUUUUGUACUCUUUUGGGUGAAUAUAAGAUCCUAUAAUAUGGAAUUAAGAUUAAGAUACCUUAGGGAUAACAGCGUUAUUUUGUUGGAGAGUUCUUAUUGAUAAUAAAGAUUGCGACCUUUAUGUUGGAUUAAGAUUAUACA
rnacentral:rRNA from 1 species